GUUUGGGACUUGGGACCGGC
rnacentral:snRNA from 1 species